AAGACUCAGAUAGGGGGAGCCACAAGAUUCACUGGCUUCUGUGUUGAUGUCAUGAACGAGCUGGCCUCUAAAAUGGGUUUUAGUUACACAAUAGUAGAACCCCCAGACGGAUAUUUCGGUGCCCUGAACAUGGAUGGAACAUGGAAUGGCAUGGUGGGCAUGGUGUACAGAGGGGAAGUGGAGAUGGCUACAGGCCCCGUCACGAUUACCUCUCUACGGGAACAGGUCAUAGACUUCACAACGCCCAUCACAGAGGGCAGCACCGGUAUUAUCAUGAGAUCCCCAGGG